rnacentral:tRNA from 1 species
GGAAACGUGCCUGAAAGUUAAGGACCUCCUUGAUAGGGAGAAUUAUACGGGUUCAAAUCCCAUCGUUUCCU